AUGUUGGUACAUUUGGAGCCCUCUAAUAAGUACUGUCAUCCUGACAUUCAUAAAGGUGGUGCUUCUUGGACUGCCCAAGGCCACAGAGGAUUUAACAUCAGAGAAGGGUGUGGAUGCUAUACAGAACCAGGAACUCAUAGAGAGGAAGCAAGUGUGGUGUGGAGUCUACUAGACAGGCUACUGGAAAAGAGUGGACUGACCACAAGGAUACUAUAGACCUUUCCUAGUGGAAGUGUCAUCUCAGAUGAUCUUUAAACUUACACAUUCUGAAGCCAUUACAUGGAGUUAUCAGAUGUAGCAAAUAAAAAUACAGGAUGCUAAGGUAAGUUUGAAUUUAGAAACAAACAUAAAAUUUUAUUGAAUGCCAAAUAAUUAUACUAAAAUGAUUUGUUGUUUAUCUGCAAUUCAUUUCGAAUAGGUGUAUUUUAUCUGGCAGGCUUGCACAAGGGGAGCUUGUAGGGUGGAACCAAGGUGCUCCUGUCAACAACCCCAGCUGACCUCCCAAGAAAUGACAUCAGCACUCAUGAUUCAUGGAAGUGAGCUCUCUCAGAUGUUCCAGAUGAGUGGAGCUCCAGAUGACAGAGAUGACAACACCAUGGGGAGAGUUAGCCUUAAAUGACAGAUACUACAUAGAGGAAAAAAAUACCUACUCAUCCUUGUCAAUACACAGACACCAGAAUGAUAAUAAAUGGGUAUUGCUUGAGAAUUUUAAGCAAAAAUGGAAAUCACUCCUGUGGUCUAAG
rnacentral:lncRNA from 1 species